rnacentral:rRNA from 1 species
CUACGGGUUGCUGCAGUGAGGAAUAUUGCACAAUGGGGGGAACCCUGAUGCAGCAACGCCGCGUGGAGGAUGACGCAUUUCGGUGUGUAAACUCCUUUUAUAUGUCAAGAAAAUGACGGUAGCAUAUGAAUAAGCACCGGCUAACUCCGUGCCAGCAGCCGCGGUAAUACGGAGGGUGCAAGCGUUACUCGGAAUCACUGGGCGUAAAGGACGCGUAGGCGGGUUGGAAAGUCAGGUGUGAAAUCCUACAGCUUAACUGUAGAACUGAACUUGAAACUUCUAAUCUAGAGUAUGGGAGGGGGAGAUUGAAGUAGUGGUGUAGGGGUAAAAUCCGUAGAUAUCGCUAGGAACACCUAAAGCGAAGGCGAUCUCCUGGAACAUUACUGACGCUAAGGCGUGAAAGCGUGGGGAGCAAACAGGAUUAGAUACCCCCGUAGUC